rnacentral:lncRNA from 1 species
UGAUCAUUUGGUUUUUUAUUAGUUAGGCCUUAAGGCCAUUGUCAGUAAUGCACAACUUGUUAUCUACUUAAAUUUUAAGCAUGUCCAAGGAAGAAGAAACUACUUUCUGGAGAAAAAACAUACAGAAAAAUCUACUGAAAUAUCAAUUCCAAUGACUUUCCAUCAAUUUAAUAAUUGUUAUGUUAAAAGUCUGAUAUAUACUACUAAAAAUUCAGAAAUUAUUGCAUGCAUUCAUAAUUGCAAUUUGAGACUAAAAUGUGAUUUUAGUUUUUGCAAUAUUUAGAGAAAUCGUGUUUAAAAAAAUAAUUCAUAUAAUUUUUUUUUCAAAUGCUAGUUUAAAUUAUUGCACUUAUGACCCUGUCGCAUUUUUUAAAUAAUAAAAACUUUGCAAUAAUGUCUGAAUUUGCAGUACCCAUCGAUACCAAUUGUGAUGAUUAUAAUAAAAUCAGUUUAAUUCAGGCUUAAGCAAAUAAUGAACCUGUAUCUUCCCUUUAAACCCUUUACAGAACAUGUUUAAUUCUUUGUCUGGAGAAUCAAUUUUCAUUAACUCUAUUUUACACUGGUUUGUGAAAAGUACAUGUGUAAUUAUUCUGAAACUGUUCAAUCUUUAGUGUAAUUUUAAAUGGGACGAGGACAACAGUCACAAAAAGGUCAAAUAACUAUUGUCAUUUUUUCGUUUGGUUGUCCUAUUGUAUUGUUGUCUAUGCGACAUUUACAACAACCAGUAUUCUUAUUUCAUUUCUUAUCAAUCAAAUGGUCAAAACUAUCUACAGUUAAAACUGGACCAGUUCUUAGGGUUGCUAUUCAAUGAAAACAUUAAAUUUUCUCCGAUCAAAUAUUGUAUUUGUAAACUGUUUGAACAGGAAUUCUGAAGGCUGUUCCAAAACAACACAUUAGGGGAAGAGUGGCAUUUUUUCAAAAGACUAUGACUACCCAUAAAAUAAAAGAUUUCAUUCGCCUUAAGAUUUUUUAUGAAAUUCUAUGGAAAAUAAAACCAAUCAUAUUUAAUGAAGAUGCAUGCCUGCAAUCCCCCUCUUGUUCCCAAUACAUUUUGGAACAGCCUUUACAAAAGCCUUAUAUUGCAUAUUUUAUAUAUAUAAAAAAACAUCAUGGUCAGAUAUAUUUUAAAACUUUUACUUUAUGUUUCCACAUUUAAUUAAUCUGUAUUGCAUGAAAAUAAGUAUCAUAAAUUCGGAAAUUAUUACCUUGUUUUAAUUUAUGCAAAAAAUGUUAAGGUUAAAAAAUCACAAUAAUAAAAAACUUUAUCUUAUCAGUGGUGAUUUUCCUUCAUAAAAUGUGGGUCAUAACACUACUUAGAUUUAUAUGUUUGCCAAAGGACAAGAAUUUACAAAAAUAAAUGCAUGCAUUAAUUUCUUAAUUUACAUGAUUUGUCUGAGGAUGACUAAAAGUAAAUCUAUACAUUUAUCAGCAGCAUCAUAUUACAUACUUCAGCUAUAAUAUAAGUGCACAGCACUUCUAUAAAAUGUGCAUUAGAAAACUUGAACCUGCUCAUAUGUAAAGGUUCAUAAACUAUGUUGGGACAUCAGUCUAUGUGAUAUGAGAAAAAAAUUACAAACUGAAGUUUAGGCAUACGAAAAAUACAAAUAUAAGUUUACAAAGCCUUAAUAUAAACUACUAA